rnacentral:rRNA from 1 species
CGGGGAGGUAGUGACGAAAAAUAACGAUACGGGACUCAUCCGAGGCCCCGUAAUCGGAAUGAGUACACUUUAAAUCCUUUAACGAGGAUCUAUUGGAGGGCAAGUCUGGUGCCAGCAGCCGCGGUAAUUCCAGCUCCAAUAGCGUAUAUUAAAGUUGUUGCGGUUAAAAAGCUCGUAGUUGAAUCUGUGUGUCACAGUGUCGGUUCACCGCUCGCGGUGUUUAACUGGCAUUAUGUGGUACGUCCUACCGGUGGGCUUAGCUCUUCGGGGCGGUCCAACUAAUACAUCGCGGUGCUCUUCACUGAGUGUCGAGAUGGGCCGGUACGUUUACUUUGAACAAAUUAGAGUGCUCAAAGCAGGCUACUUUCGCCUGAAUACUCUGUGCAUGGAAUAAUGGAAUAGGACCUCGGUUCUAUUUUGUUGGUUUUCGGAACCCCGAGGUAAUGAUUAAUAGGGACAGAUGGGGGCAUUCGUAUUGCGACGUUAGAGGUGAAAUUCUUGGAUCGUCGCAAGACGGACAGAAGCGAAAGCAUUUGCCAAAAAUGUUUUCAUUAAUCAAGAACGAAAGUUAGAGGUUCGAAGGCGAUCAGAUACCGCCCUAGUUCUAACCAUAAACGAUGCCAGCCAGCGAUCCGCCGAAGUUCCUCAGAUGACUCGGCGGGCAGCUUCCGGGAAACCAAAGCUUUUGGGUUCCGGGGGAAGUAUGGUUGCAAAGCUGAAACUUAAAGGAAUUGACGGAAGGGCACCACCAGGAGUGGAGCCUGCGGCUUAAUUUGACUC